rnacentral:lncRNA from 1 species
GUCUUCUUUUUUUUCACAUCGCACAUCAAACUCAAAAUAAAUCUGAAAUCCCCAAAAUCAUACACCCAAAUCAGAAAUAAAUCUACAAAUUUGGAUCCCCAAAUCAUACACCCAAAUCAUCAAGAAACAGAAAUUGAAAUCGCCAUUUUCAAGGUCUACUUCAAUUUUCUGAAAAGUAAUUUUUCAUCUCAUCUUUGAAAAGCAAUUUUCAUUCUCAUCCUUGAAAAGAAAUCAAAAUCGAAACCAGAAAAGGGAAAGGUCUUCAUCAGCAAUUCAAUCGAAAUCGAAAUCGCCAUUUUCCACUUUCAAUCGCGGUUGCGGCUUUGCUGCGGUCGCCGUAGACGAGAGAGAGGCGACGAAGCCAUGGCUGAUUUUCUCUAAUGAGGUCGAGAAGGAGAGCGGCGAGGAUGCGAGAGAAGCUGGAGGUGAGGAGGGAGGUUGGGGUUUGGGUGGAGAUGGAGCUCGACUGCUUCAAUGGAGUUUCUUGGCGAGUUUGAGAAAUGGAAAGAUGUGGUUGUGGGCUAACCAUGGGAAGAUGGAGCUUUACAUGUUUCUUGGCGAGCUCUGGUUGGCGGCAGCAAGGGCGACGACCCUAUCGAGAGUCCGAUGGUGGGCUCGCCUACCGUAGUUUCGCCGGAGAUUUGAGGGAGGAA